AUUGAACGCUGGCGGCAGGCUUAACACAUGCAAGUCGAGCGGAGAUGAGGUGCUUGCACCUUAUCUUAGCGGCGGACGGGUGAGUAAUGCUUAGGAAUCUGCCUAUUAGUGGGGGGCAACAUUCCGAAAGGAAUGCUAAUACCGCAUACGUCCUACGGGAGAAAGCAGGGGAUCUUCGGACCUUGCGCUAAUAGAUGAGCCUAAGUCGGAUUAGCUAGUUGGUGGGGUAAAGGCCUACCAAGGCGACGAUCUGUAGCGGGUCUGAGAGGAUGAUCCGCCACACUGAGACUGAGACACGGCCCAGACUCCUACGGGAGGCAGCAGUGGGGAAUAUUGGACAAUGGGGGGAACCCUGAUCCAGCCAUGCCGCGUGUGUGAAGAAGGCCUUAUGGUUGUAAAGCACUUUAAGCGAGGAGGAGGCUACUGAGACUAAUACUCUUGGAUAGUGGACGUUACUCGCAGAAUAAGCACCGGCUAACUCUGUGCCAGCCGCCGCGGUAACAC
rnacentral:rRNA from 1 species